rnacentral:lncRNA from 1 species
UCAUAAAACACCUAUUGAUUCUGCAUUGUUCUCCAAAUUCUCUGAUAGUUCUAAUCUUUCCGAUGCACUAUAUUUUACGUAUAUUACAGUCAUGAUAAUCUCUUUUUAAUUAACUUCAUGACAAAGUUGAGCAGUGAUUUGCUGAUGUGUAUCACUCAGGACUUUCUUUUUCCACUCAGAGCUCUAAAACACACAUAUUUUAUUGCAGAAAUUUAUUGCAACAUUCACCAUACCUAGUUUUUUUUUUUCUAUAAAUAUCUAGUUCUUGUGGCCCGUGAAAAGGUUUCAAGAGGGCUAUAAAUGAAUAGUGGUAUCUCAUUUUUAGGUCAAGUACCCUCUCAAAAGAGUUUUGAGUUUGUACUGACCUAAUAUUCCAUAAAAAAUGUGGUCCGCCAUCGUCUACUCAAUGGAUUGCUGAGCUACUCCUUGUGUUUAUUUGACUUGUUUUUCUGUGGAUUGUCUUUGUUUUCUUCCUUCCUGGACUUAAUUCCUUCGUAUGCGUUGGCGAGAAGUCCCCUUUAGCACUUACCUCAUUGAUAUUUUCUUGUAUAUCUCCAUCUUCUUUUUCAUUCCUAAUUUGCUCAUGUAUAUCUGCUUCUCCUCCCUUUUGAACCAUCUUCAUUAACUUUGUGUAUGUUAGCUGUGGAUCCAGUGGUUUUUUCUCGGAUUUAUCAUCACAAAUUUUAGCCUGAUGCUCUGAAAUAACCUCUUCUCCCUCUCUUUCUUCAACAUCUAAGUCUACUACUCUCUUUAUUGACACUUACUUCACUUGAAUGCAUAUUAGUAGAUUAUUGUUGCUCUACCUCUAUUGUUUUAUCUUUGUGCCUGCAUAAUUCUCUUGUCCUUUCUUUGUCUUUUUGUGGUCUUUACCCAAUUCCUUGUUACUUUUGUUUUUUGAGUUUGUUUUUUCACCUCUUUGUCUGACCUGGCGUUUUGUUGUUUAGUUUGAUCUGUUGUCCUACCAAACACCUCUUUUACCCAUUGCUUUGUUGUUUUCUUUUUUUUUUUUUGCUAUCCGUAUUUUCCUUUUUCUUUUUUCUUUUGCACCAUUCCUCUUCUGUAUGGAUAUCUCUCUCUUUUGCACCAUAGAUGCCUAUUUGUUAUUUGAAUGUUUUGUUCUCCUCCUCUUUUCUCUUUGUUGUAUCUUGUUUUCUUGGAUCAUCCUUCUCUACUCCUUGAUCUUUUUGUAUUGUCUGCUCUAUGAUGCCC